rnacentral:rRNA from 1 species
AGAGUUUGAUCCUGGCUCAGGACGAACGCUGGCGGCGUGCUUAACACAUGCAAGUCGAACGAUGAAGCUGGAGCUUGCUCCAGUGGAUUAGUGGCGAACGGGUGAGUAACACGUGAGAAAUCUGCCCCUGACUCUGGGAUAACUGCGGGAAACUGUAGCUAAUACCGGAUACUUUCCCUGGUGGGCAUCCACUGGGGAAGAAAGAAUUUCGGUCAGGGAGGAUCUCGCGGCCUAUCAGCUUGUUGGUGAGGUAACGGCUCACCAAGGCGACGACGGGUAACCGGCCUGAGAGGGUGACCGGUCACACUGGGACUGAGACACGGCCCAGACUCCUACGGGAGGCAGCAGUGGGGAAUAUUGCACAAUGGGCGCAAGCCUGAUGCAGCAACGCCGCGUGAGGGAUGACGGCCUUCGGGUUGUAAACCUCUUUUAGCAGGGAAGAAGCGAAAGUGACGGUACCUGCAGAAAAAGCACCGGCUAACUACGUGCCAGCAGCCGCGGUAAUACGUAGGGUGCAAGCGUUGUCCGGAAUUAUUGGGCGUAAAGAGCUCGUAGGCGGUUUGUCACGUCUGCUGUGAAAAUCCAAGGCUCAACCUUGGACUUGCAGUGGGUACGGGCAGGCUAGAGUGCGGUAGGGGAGAUGGGAAUUCCUGGUGUAGCGGUGGAAUGCGCAGAUAUCAGGAGGAACACCAAUGGCGAAGGCACAUCUCUGGGCCGUAACUGACGCUGAGGAGCGAAAGCGUGGGGAGCGAACAGGAUUAGAUACCCUGGUAGUCCACGCCGUAAACGGUGGGUGCUAGCUGUGGGCCACAUUCCACGUGGUCCGUGACGAAGUUAACACAUUAAGCACCCCGCCUGGGGAGUACGGCCGCAAGGCUAAAACUCAAAGGAAUUGACGGGGGCCCGCACAAGCGGCGGAGCAUGCGGAUUAAUUCGAUGCAACGCCGAAGAACCUUACCAAGGCUUGACAUAUUGAGGGAAAAAUGCCGAAAAUGGCCUCCCCCGCAAGGGCUCUAUUAAAGGUGGGGGCAAGGGUUGUCCUCACCCUCCUGUCCCGAGAAAAUUUGGGGUUAAUUCCCCCCACCAAGGGCAACCCUCGUCCCAUUGUUGCCCCACCCUUAUUGUGGGGGAACACCAUGGGAAACUGCCCGGGGUCGACUCCCCAGGAAAGAUGGGGGGUGGAGCUCCCAAUCAUCAAUAGCCCCCUCAAUUAUUUGGGUGUUCCC